GAAACGAAACGUCGGCGAUUAAUCAAUCACCAUCUAACACGGCUCAUAGCCUGAGAAGACUUUAUUAAUGAAAGCCGCCGUGAAAACUUCACAUCAUAUACCUUCAGGUUCUUCUAAAUGGCAUGACGAAAGAACAAAAGAAACUAAGUCAUCGGCAGGGGGAGCGUUUUGAAGAAUGAUUUUAAGAAGUCGAAAAGGCUAACCGCGUUAACGAAAAUAGGUUUGAGAAGUUGAACCUUGAAAUGAAACAUUUAAAAGGUAAAUUGUCAGAACCUACUUCCAUUGUUUGCAAUGCAAAUUUGUUACGAUUAGCUGAUAGCAACGCAGCCAGUCAAAGCAGUUCCCACAGCGAGCCUCCCGAAAACUUGAAUAGUCAAGUGUCAAGGUCCAAUGAUAUUUCUGGAAAUACGAAUGAUGCUAAUUGUAAUGUGAGUCGUGAUAGCACGAAUGUUCGCCCUUACAAUGCACAUAACUAUUUAAGCGCUGCUGAUCUGUCCCUACCCAUGUUUGAAGACAGCGAUAAAAUUAACGCUAUUUACAUUUGAACCCUUUGGAUGAAUUUAUGAAGUUGGAGGGCGUACUCGAGUCAUUACAAUUAGCUAUUGCAUUCAAAUCAAUAUCAGACCCUGUGGCUGAUCAGUGGAUGUCAGCUGUUUCUCAUACCUUAAAUGACUGUGAGCAGUUUAAAGUCGCUUUCACUAGAACCUUUUGGUCCAAGACGACACAGAGCUGGUUGAAAUAUUCAGCAAAAAAGCUUCGAAACAAAUGUUUAAACUCAGAAAAGAAAAAGGCUGUUUUUUUAAGUGAGAGAAAAGAGAAGGGAGUAUGAAAAGAGAGAGAUGAAGGUUUACCCACUGGGGUAUUCUUGCCAUCUUUUGGCCGAUUCUUGGGUCCUAAGUAAAAAAAAAUUGCAAGGCCAUGGAAAAACUAAUUUAUUGAAUAUUGUUGCCAAAUCAUACCAGUAACUUAUUAUAAGAGGUAGAAAGAAUAAUAAAAACGGAAGCAUUGAAUCCUUAA